CAACCCUCAAGCUCUGCUUGGUAUUGGGUGUCACUUAAAUGGUGCAUCUUAAAAUCAGUGGCGGUGCCAUCUGGCUUCCAAGUGUGUAGUAAUAUUCUUGCUUUGGGAGUUUUGAGAUGUGUGCUUGCCAACAACCCUCUAGUUUAUCAAA
rnacentral:misc_RNA from 1 species